rnacentral:SRP_RNA from 1 species
CGGCGGGUCUUAGGCGGGGGGCUAGGGGUCCCCUGAACCGUAAACCCUCUAUAGGACGGGCUGAGAGCCUUGGCGAGGCGUCAAAGAUCGUCAGGAUUCCCCAGUCCUCUAACCGUGACUAUCCGUCCCUUGGGGCUGGCGGUCGUGGAGCAACCUUCGUAGGGAGGCUGUGGACCGCGUUUGCCAGGCGAACCUGGCCAGGCCCGGGAGGGAGCAACCUAAGCUUGGACGUUCAGCGCUUGAGGGGUUGCGGGUACGAGUAAAGAGGUUGAGGAACCUGGCGAAAACUGGGCGUCGAACCAAGGUGACUCGCCG